GGGAACUCCUAGAGCUGGCAGCAAGGCAUAUCAAUUCCCCCAGUAGCUGCGAGCGAACAGGGAAGAGCCCAGCACCGAAUCCCGCGGCCGAUAUCGGACGCCGGGAAAUGUGGUGUUAGGGAGGGUCCGUUUAUCCCGAGGUCGUGCGGUGCGUCCAAGUCCUUCUUGAACGGGGCCACAGCCCAUAGAGGGUGCCAGGCCCGUAGCGACCGCUGCCGAUCGCGGGAGGAUCUCUCCUCAGAGUCGGGUUGCUUGAGAGUGCAGCCCUAAGUGGGUGGUAAACUCCAUCUAAGGCUAAAUAUGACCACGAGACCGAUAGCGAACAAGUACCGUGAGGGAAAGUUGAAAAGCACUUUGAAGAGAGAGUUCAAGAGUACGUGAAACCGUUCAGGGGUAAACCUGAGAAGCCCGAAAGGUCGAAAGGGGAAAUUCAUUCGCGUUUCGGCCGUCGAAGUGGGAUGGUCGAGUGACGGAUGGCGUACGCGUCGUCCGCGCCUUCCGUUCUUCGAAUCGGCGUCGAACGCGUGCACUUUUCCCCUAGUAGGACGUCGCGAUCCGUUGGGUGUCGGUCUACGGUUCGCGGUGGUGCCCGUGUGGUCGCUUCGCGGCGUAUCGCACGGACCCGCGGUGUCCCGGCCGACUCGCUCGACGGUAUACAGAUGGCGCGGGGUCGCUGCUAAACAUUCAGUUAGCGUUCGAUCCGUGGCAAGCGCGUUCGGAGCGAUGGCGAUCGGACCUGGUGCCGGUCCCGUCCACGAACGACUGUUGGCUACGGUCUAUUCUCUCGAACAGACCUCGUUCGAAACGCCGAUCUGCGACGCUAUAGCUUUGGGUACUUUCAGGACCCGUCUUGAAACCGCCC
rnacentral:rRNA from 1 species